CCUACGGGAGGCAGCAGUGGGGGAUAUUGCACAAUGGGGGGAACCCUGAUGCAGCGACGCCGCGUGGGUGAAGAAGCGCCUCGGCGCGUAAAGCCCUGUCAGCAGGGAAGAAAAUGACGGUACCUGAAGAAGAAGCCCCGGCUAACUACGUGCCAGCAGCCGCGGUAAUACGUAGGGGGCAAGCGUUAUCCGGAUUUACUGGGUGUAAAGGGAGCGUAGACGGCAGCGCAAGUCUGGAGUGAAAUGCCGGGGCCCAACCCCGGAACUGCUUUGGAAACUGUGCAGCUCGAGUGCAGGAGAGGUAAGCGGAAUUCCUAGUGUAGCGGUGAAAUGCGUAGAUAUUAGGAGGAACACCAGUGGCGAAGGCGGCUUACUGGACUGUAACUGACGUUGAGGCUCGAAAGCGUGGGGAGCAAACAGGAUUAGAUACCCUUGUAGUC
rnacentral:rRNA from 1 species